GUGCGCGCGCCGCUCCGGCUGCGGCCUGGCGGGCGUUCUGUCCGCCGCCGCCGUGCGCGCCUUGGGCGCGGGGCUGCUGGCCGCCGAAGCUCCGCGCCGCUCCGCGCCGCCCUCCAGCUUCUUGCGGUUCAGCUUGAAGGAUCCGUUGGCGCCGGUGCCCUUCACCUGCAGUAGCGUAUCGUUCUGCACCAGCGCCCGGAUAGAGUACUUGAGCUACCAGGAGCCCGCUGCUGCUGCUGCUGCUGCUGCUGCUGCUGCGUACCCUGCGUGCUGGAAUGCCAUGCUGCCCUCAGGCUCAGGCAGAAGCUUCAAUCAGGACAGAUGUUGUUCACCAGACUGGUGUCUGUUGGUCCAGUCAAUCUGAGGUAAGACAGACAAAGCAAUGUGAGAAUCUAGUUUGUCUUUCUUGUUAAGAGUCAGGAAACUUCAAUACAAUCGAUAAGCCCAAAAUUACCCACAGAGAUGCUGUUUUUUCCUAAGGCAUGUAAACAUCAAAUGAACUGUAAUUAAUUACGCAAGAAUGCUUAGAACAUCGAGUUGUUACCUUAUUAGCCCUUCCCUAACAUCUAAGACUGCAUCCCAUAAAAACAUUAUUUCAUUCACAAAAGGAAAAUUUAAGAUUUUAAAAAGUGAGCUAGUGCAUAUAUUUCACUAAACUUUUAAUCUUUGCUUGCACUUUAAUGACGUGGAAACUUAAAGAGUUCUUUGGUUGAAUGGGGUUUGCAAACGUGAAGGAACGUUUAGCUGAAGUGGACACAGGAAAAGGAUGUUCUGCUCAACCAAGCACAUGAAAGGACACGUGAUGAGGGAGUCUUUGCUAACGACACGCAUGCAUUGGUCCGAGUUACACUGUGGAGUUGCACUGCGUUUGUUGGACUCCAUAGAAAAACACAACAACAAAACUUGUGGUGGUGUGCUGCGGCUUCUUGCCACAUCCGCAGACUAGGGCUCAUGCGCAGAGUGAUGUCAGCUGAGACAGAUAGGUGCUGAGGCAAGACCUAUGGGUGAGAUGUGAUGUUUGGAUGUAUAAAUAGAAUAUAACUAGGACUCGAUGGACAGUGGCAGAGGCUGACCUGAUCUUCUCUUCCCUGAGAGGGGCACAGCCAAGAACUUCCUGGCCAUUUCUCCUUGGUCCCUCCUGCUGACUCCAGCCAAGGCCAAGGCCUGGCUGUCUCUGCUAGGUAGUACCACUGCUGCUGAUUGGUGUUUGCUAUCCCAACUACCGAGCUGGACUGCUGGUGUGUCCGUGAGGUGUUUUCGAGUGGAUCGAGCUGCCGAUUUCCAGACAACACAGAUGGGAGUUGCUCCAAAGAACCUUUCUAAGCAGGUCCACUUCCCCUGUAUCCUUUCUUUUCCACUACCUCUGGUGGGUGGUGGGCUACAAGGAAUGUUAAAGUGUUUAAGAACCAUCAUUAAAAAUAGGCGUUUGAAAGAAUU
ensembl:antisense Gm5577 predicted gene 5577